rnacentral:rRNA from 1 species
UACGUAGGGUGCAAGCGUUGUCCGGAAUUAUUGGGCGUAAAGAGCUCGUAGGCGGUCUGUCGCGUCGGCUGUGAAAUCCCGGAGCUCAACUCCGGGUCUGCAGUCGAUACGGGCAAACUGGAGUACUGCAGGGGAGACUGGAAUUCCUGGUGUAGCGGUGAAAUGCGCAGAUAUCAGGAGGAACACCGGUGGCGAAGGCGGGUCUCUGGGCAGUAACUGACGCUGAGAAGCGAAAGCGUGGGGAGCGAACAGG